UAGGGAAUCUUCCGCAAUGGGCGAAAGCCUGACGGAGCAACGCCGCGUGAGUGAUGAAGGUCUUCGGAUCGUAAAACUCUGUUAUUAGGGAAGAACAAAUGUGUAAGUAACUAUGCACGUCUUGACGGUACCUAAUCAGAAAGCCACGGCUAACUACGUGCCAGCAGCCGCGGUAAUACGUAGGUGGCAAGCGUUAUCCGGAAUUAUUGGGCGUAAAGCGCGCGUAGGCGGUUUUUUAAGUCUGAUGUGAAAGCCCACGGCUCAACCGUGGAGGGUCAUUGGAAACUGGAAAGCUUGAGUGCAGAAGAGGAAAGUGGAAUUCCAUGUGUAGCGGUGAAAUGCGCAGAGAUAUGGAGGAACACCAGUGGCGAAGGCGACUUUCUGGUCUGUAACUGACGCUGAUGUGCGAAAGCGUGGGGAUCAAACAGG
rnacentral:rRNA from 1 species